rnacentral:rRNA from 1 species
AUUGAACGCUGGCGGCAGGCCUAACACAUGCAAGUCGAGCGGCUGACGGGAGCUUGCUCCUUGAUACAGCGGCGGACGGGUGAGUAAUGCCUAGGAAUCUGCCUGGUAGUGGGUGACAACGUUUCGAAAGGAACGCUAAUACCGCAUACGUCCUACGGGAGAAAGCAUGGGACCUUCGGGCCUUGCGCCAUCAGAUGAGCCUAGGUCGGAUUAGCUGGUUGGUGAGGUAAUGGCUCACCAAGGCGACGAUCCGUAACUGGUCUGAGAGGAUGAUCAGUCACACUGGAACUGGGACACGGUCCAGACUCCUACGGGAGGCAGCAGUGGGGAAUAUUGGACAAUGGGCGAAAGCCUGAUCCAGCCAUACCGCGUGUGUGAAGAAGGUCUUCGGAUUGUAAAGCACUUUAAGUUGGGAGGAAAGGGUGUAGAUUAAUACUCUGCUAUUCUGACGUUACCGACAGAAUAAGCACCGGCUAACUCUGUG